rnacentral:lncRNA from 13 species
GUAAGGUCCAGCAAUGACAGGUAGUGCCAAGGUGCCUUCAGAUGGCUGAGGGAAACAUCGUCUGAGUCCUGAUUCUCCACCUUUCUCCCAAAGUUACGCAGUGGAACACUUCUCAUCAUGGAUUUAACGAUGGAAGCUCACUCCAGCCAAUCAUUACAUCAAUCCAAUGACAGGAAGUUGUACCAGUGCACUCUGGGAGAAGGGUGGAGUAUCGCCAUUCAACAGUUAUUUCCUUCAUUUCCCCACCCACCAUUCGUUUAAACUGUUAAGCAGAGAGCAGCCAUCCGUUUGAUCUUACCUUGAUAAGCAGAGAGCAGCUCUAGCUCAAUCUGUUUGGCAUUACCUUGAUAAGCAGAGAGCAGCUCUAGCUCAAUCUGUUUGGCCUUACCUUGAUAAGCAGAGAGCAGCUCUAGCUCAAUCUGUUUGGCCUUACCUUGAUAAGCAGAGAGCAGCUCUAGCUCAAUCUGUUUGGUGCUGUGGUCGAAAUGAAUGAUUUUCCCCUCCUGAUAGACAAACGGAAAGACACACAGUGAGAAAGAACAUUACCCAAAUGAAACCAAUUACAUUUUUAAAUAUGUAGCAUAUAAACAUCUCUUACCACAUGUAUUUAGUCCUAGUUCAGGACAUAACUUAAGAAAAAAAACGCUGUCCACCUACGGUUAGAGAAAACCUCACCUUCUCCUCAAGUUAUACCAGACAGAGGAGAGAAAACAGUUCCUAACCCUGUUCAGACAGCUCUGUCUCCUCAAGUUAUACCAGACAGAGGAGAGAGAAAACAGUUCCUAACCGUGUUCACACAGCUCUGUCUCCUCAAGUUAUACCAGACACAGAGAGAGAAAACAGUUCCUAACCGUGUUCACACAGCUCUUUCUCCUCAAGUUAUACCAGACAGAGAGAAAACAGUUCCUAACCGUGUUCACACAGCUGUUUCUCCUCAAGUUAUACCAGACACAGAGAGAAAACAGUUCCUAACCCUGUUCACACAGCUGUUUCUCCUCAAGUUAUACCAGACACAGAG